rnacentral:lncRNA from 1 species
CACUUAUAUGUUGCUUUCUUUUGAUAUAAGUCUAAAGAAAGGAUUCUAACAUAAGUAUAUACUUUUUUUGAGAGAAACAUAAGUAUAUACUUAGUUCUUCGAGUUAUGUAAUUUUACUUUCGAAUAUACUUGUUCAUAUAUCUAUAUAGUUAAUAUAAUUUGAUGUGUAUAUAAAUAUUUUUACAUAGUUGAUGCAUAAUUAUUAAAAUCCUAUUUGAAUCUCAAUUUAACAAGAAAAAAAAAUAUAUAAUACUAGUUCAUGUGUGAGUAACAUAAAUUCUUUGUUACAUAUACAGAUUGAAUAUGAAGUUGAAACUUGCAACACAAGUUUUGAGAAUCCAAGUAGUUGUGUCGAUGUCAAGAGAACAAGCUUCCCAAUGCAAAAUGGUGGUUAUCUCAUCUAUGGAGUUGGUCAUCAACAUUCAGGUGCAAUUGGAUCAACUCUAUAUGGAAAGGUGAACAUUAUAAUUGCAAUCAUUGUUAAUAUUUGAAUACCACUGCUCACUAGUGACAUGGUGCAUACACACGGACGGACCCAUGUAGAGCAUGAUGUGGGCCUGGGCCUUCACUUGAUUUGAAAAUGAAAAUAAAAAAUUAAUACCCUUCUAUUGUGUUGGUGGUAAGAUAGUAUUUUCUUGGUAUUACCUUUUGGCUAUGUGUAGUUCUAGUUCCAGAUUAUUAAGUUUUUUUUACCUUAAAGUAAUGACUUCAUAGAUAAUAGAAGUGUAUAGUCUAUACAAUAUAGAUUAUUAUUAUAUUAUAAUAUAUAUACAAAAGGAACAACAUAGAGAGAAUUAAGGGGAAGAUAUAUUAUUUAUUUUAAUAAUUUAAUAACACAUAAUAUAUAUAAUUAUUUUGGUAGGUAGUGCUUAUUUGAGUAUGAGUUCUGAUUAUUCGAGUGAAUUUAUACUAUUAGUUUUGAUAGUGUUUACUUUUCUGUUGAUAUAUUUGCUUUCAGAGUAGUUUUUGAUAUUAACUGCGACAACUGUAACAAUUGAAAAAGAUCUUUCUGCUAUCAAAAAUCAGGUGCGAAAUCUCUAGAGAAAUGAAUGAUAAAAUGAAAAAAUUGUUUGAUUUUUUAUAUCGAGUGUGUUCUUAUUGACACUGUAAAUGAGAAAAUCAUUCAAUAUUUUAAGAUAUGAAAAACCGUAGAGAUAAUUAUUAUGUAUAUUUAUGCUUUUAAAAAUGAAAUGUUACAUGUGUUACCUACAUCAUUUAAAAAUUUUGGGUCCGUCAUUUGACAUGGCCCUCAUUAUACAAUAUUUAUGGGUCCGGUCCCUGUGCAUACAUACCUUAAAAAUAAAUAAGUUGUGUUAUUUGAAAAAUUAAAAUUGUUCAACUUUUACCACAACUUUUAAAUGGUUAACGGAGUACAAAUAAGUAUUUAACUACGUUAAGAAAAUGAUUAAGGGAAAUAUCUGGUAUAAAAACUCAUGAAUCAUCAAUGUGUUUAAACUUGAUUAACAUAAUUUUUAAGAGGGUUAAUAGUGCUUUAUCUCCCUGUAAUAUAAGUCAUUUCCGAUUUUUCCUCGUGUAAUUUUUUUUAUUUACCCCCUUAUAACCCUUUUUAAGAUAUAUGCAAAUCUACAUGUAGUUAAACACAUGCAAAUUAUGGUUAAACCACAAUCAAAGUCGUGAACGAUGAAGUUGCAUUGCCACUUCAUGAGUUUCGACAUGUAAUAUAUCUCUUAAUCAUCUACCAAACGUAAUUAACAAUCUAGUUAAACUUUGUUAAUCCCUUAAAAAAUUGUUGCGCAAGUUAUCUAAAAUUGUUCGUGUAAAAAUAAUUUAUCAAAAUAAAAAAUGAGUUUUAAAUUUGCGGUUUCCCUCAUCCAAUUAUAUAUAUUGGGCAUCUUGAUAUUUUGCUUUAAUGUGAUCAACCUUUAUAAUUAGACUAUAUAUGCUACUUUUACUUCGUUUAUUAGUUAUACUCUUUGUACCCUUAUUACUUUAAUAUUUUAAUUAAAUAUUGGAUCAAAGUUUUGAAAUUUUGGCUGUGAUAUUAAUGUUAGGAUGGGAGAGUUAUAUGUACUUCAAUCCCAAAGUACGGAAAAGGAAGGAAAGCAGGAAAUGAGAAAGGGUAUAUUGUAGGAAUGUCAACAUGUUACCCUAAACCAGGUUCUAUCAAGAUAUUUGAUGGUGAGACUUUAACAUUAGAGAGUAACUACAGUAGCAACAUAAGUCACUCUGGAGUAAUGGGACUUUUCUAUUUCUUGGUGGCAGAAAAGCUACCACAUUACCAUGUUUAACAUUCCUAUCAUUCUUUGUAUGGUGAAUUAUACAAUGGAUUACUUUGAUAGUAUCAAACUUAAUUUAAAUUUCAGUUAGAUUUAUGUUAUCAUUUAGUUGCUUUUGUUAUUAUGUUGUGUUAAGCUACCAAUUGUGAAGUUGGUUAGUUAAUCUUGUGUGAACAACUUAUCUAUGUAAUGUUGUACCCUAUCAUUUCAGUACCCUUUUGAUUUAUUCUCUUUACUUGGAUCAUUGAUAACUCUUCAUCACAUGUAGAUUUUUAACGUCUUUUGUCUUUACUUACACUAGCUGUAUCGAAUGGAAAUACACCCAACACGUAAAUGUGUCUUUUUCCAUAAGAUUGCGCGAUAAUGGAAAAUUUUGUACACAUGUAAUGACCCAAGGGAAAUCUUCCAUUAUCGCGUAAUAUUCUUGUGUCAUUAUCCUUGUGUACAAAAUUUUGGUUAAUUUGUUGAUAAAGUUAGAAGUCUUUUUAGAAAUUGGUUCCAUCAAUAUCUCAUUUAUGUCUUUCUCUUUCUCUUGAUGAAAUCUUCCAUUUCUUAGAAUAUGCAAGCCAAGUAAGUAACACACUUUUCUGUACAUAUUUUUUAAUUAUGUUAAUUUUUAUAAUUAAAAAAAACUUUGCACGCCAUGUCCCUAAUAUGUUUAGAUUAGUUUAUGGGUGCGUUUGUUUUAGCUUUAAAAAAAUAAAUUUUGUGUUAAAAUAAUCUAGAGAUUAAUUUUUAAUGAUUUAAAAAAAAAAAUUGAAGUUAUUUUUGUUUGCCUAUUAUCCAUAAAAAUCCUUUUUUUUUUUUUUUUUUUUAAAGAAAAUGAGUUUUAACAUGUGCAUGUGUUACCUCUUUGUUUAAAAAAAAAAAAAGAUUUUGAGAAAAGCUAAUCCUAAUAGCUUUUCAUUUUAGAGUCAAAAUAUAUUUGUUUGAUAAAAUGAUUUUUCUAAAAAUCCUAAACAAACACUUAAAAAUAAAAAUAAAAAGUGAUUUUUUUAGGAAACAAUUAAAUUUCUUUUGAAAAAUAUCCAAAAAAAAACGGGGCCUAUGUGUCAAAAACAUUUGUGAUAAAAAAGAAACUGUAAUCUUUGAUAUCAUUUUUAAUGAAAUCCUAAUACCACAAUUAAAAAAAAUUACAUCCUUGUGCUUAUACAAUUUCGUUAUGGUCCUCAAAUUACUAGUGUUCAUCAAUUGGACGUUGUUACUCGUAAGCACAUUUUCUUCUCCAUCUAAAUUCAUUAUUUUAUUUUCCAAUCAAUGUUCAAUUUUUGAGUUGGUUUUAAACUUGGAAUUCUCAUUUUGCAGUUUUUAUUUUUAUAAACAACUUUUUUUUUUAUUUUUUAUCGGAGUACAAGUGCAAUCCUAACGUAAUUGCAUAGUGAAAAAACUCUACGCACCUUCUAUAAAAGGUUGCAAAACUUCCACUAAAUCAUGUACUCAAAAGCCAGAAAAGAAAAAAAAAAAAAAACCAAAACCUUUAAUUUACAUAAUGUUUUCUUUCUUUGGCUUUGCACGAGUGUGUUUUCUCUUUCUCUAAUUAUUUACUAUUUUAAAACUAAAGUUUCUUUUAAGUGUUUUGGGGACCAACAUUUAUUAAAUGUUGCUAAUAAGAUUCAAGAAUAGAAAUUAUUGAAAAAUUCUAUAUAAAAAAAAAUAUUUUUUAAAGUUUCAAUGUAUUGAAUGUAUCAUUUUUAAGAUAAAGUUUUGUUUUUGAACUUGUUAACAAAUACCCUCAAGACACUUGUUAGUAUUUCCCAAAUUUAUUCUAGUCUGGUUAUAUGAUCCGUUUGAUUUAGAUAAACCAUUUCAAUGGAGACAAUAACAAUCUUCCAUGUGCUUCUAAUUAUCACUUGGAAAACCUAUCUAACUUUUUAUAUAAAAAAAAAAAAAAAAAAAACAUAUGUUAGGCUUUAAUCAAAUAAGCUGUUUUAUACAUGUUGGGGGUCCUAUAAGAGGAACAUAACAUUGUUAGUCAAAAAAAGAAUAUUUUAUAGUUAGUCUCCAAGUGAUUCAUUCGACCCUAUUCAUUUAGAAGCAUUGAAUCUUACUGUCCAUAUUUGGAUAAUCUUUGUUUUGUUACAACCAUAUUUGGAACAUUUGAAAAGGCACAUUGCAACAUCUUUUGGUGAAUAUAUAUUUGUUUCAAGCUUAACGAUUUUGAACCAUCUUUUAAUAUAUAGUUGCUAAAUGCUACACUAUCAUUUUCAAGAAUAAUUCCUUCCCAAGUUUCUGAGGUACGUUCCUUCACACUUAAUCAUCAUCAUCAUUGACAUAAACAUGAAUAUCCAUCUUUGCUUAUGUUUGUUCAUCAAUUUUGUCUUAUUAUUAGGAGUAUAGUAGCAGUAGCUAGUAGUAGUAUUCUAGCUAGCUCUUUUCAAACAAAAGAAAUGCAAUUUGAUGCUUUGAGUGCAGUUUCUUUUACCAUCAUUUUCUUGAUAUGCAUAGAAAUGUGAGAGCUUCUAUGAUAGAUUAAUUAGGAGAUAAUUUUUCUCUCUAAAUCUAAGGGUGUAUAAUUUGUUGCACUAUACAAUCCAAGUCCAUCAUCCUUCAAAAUGAAGUUUGAUUUUGAGUGAAAAAUAACAUACAAAUUUGGGUUAAUAUAUGAUUAUCCUCUGUAAUAUUAGCAAUUUUCGUUUCACCCUCUGUAAAAAUAUUUUUGUUUAGAUUUCAACCCUGUAAUUUGAAAAUUCUUUGGUUUUGGACCUUCAUAGCAUCAAAUUACAAAAUUUAAGGUACUUUCGCCUCUUGUAAUUUGGGAUAAUUUCGGUUUACCCUCCUGCCAUAUCAUCAAUUUUGUACAGUCAAAAGUCGUGAAGGUCCAAAACCGAAUCUUCAAAUUACAGAGUUGAAAUCUAAUUUUUUUUUACAGGAGGUAAACCGAAAAUCGCUAAUAUUAAAAGGGUAAACAUGUAUUAUAACCAAUUUUUACAGUAAAAAAAGUAAUAAUUACACAUUUUACUUCUUUUACUUUUUUUUAUUUGCACAUAAAAAAAAUCCUCAUUUAUAAAGUGAAUUGAUUGACUUCAAAUAUUUUACUAUACACGAACCAAAUCUAUAUAUGUUUUCAUUUUACUUGGCAUGGUUUAAUGACUUCUAUAUAUGCAAUUGCUUUUAAUUAUUUGUUUUGUAUAAACAGAUCAAGAUGAGGUUUGUAUCACAAACAAGGAACCUUUUAUGGGCAAUCCUAGCACUAGUGUUGUUGUCAAGCACACCAUUCUCAUCAUAUGCUUUUAGGAAGACCAAAAAAAUUAUUCAAACACAAGUUUUUUUCUCUCCCAAGAUUGAACUAAGUCCAGGAUCUGUUUCAAAUAAAAUAUAUUAUGAUGUUGAUUUUCCAAGUGGUCAUAUUUCAGUCAAAAAUUUCUUUGCUGAAGUAGUUGAUGAAUCAGGGCAUUCAAUACCUCUCCAUCAAACUUAUCUACACCAUUGGGUUGUUGUGAGAUACCACCAACCUAAAAAUGUGACAAACAAUAGCCAACAAGGUUUUAUUUUUAAAAGAAAUCAUGGAUUUUGUCAAGAGAAUGUUUUUGGACAAUACUAUGGUCUUGGAUCUGAAACAAGAGGCACAAAUACAUAUAUUCCUCAACCUUAUGGAAUAGAAGUUGGUAAUCAUGAAGAAAUUCCAAAAGGGUAUGUGGAAAAAUGGUUGAUUAAUGUUCAUGCUAUUGAUACUAGGGGUGUAGAAGAUAGAAUGGGGUGUAUUGAGUGUAAGUGUGAUUUGUAUAAUGUUACAAAGGAUGAAAAUGGAAAAAUAUUGAGUCCAAAUUAUAAGGGGGGAUUGCAAUGUUGUCCUGAUAAUAGUAAGUGUAAGCUGAGUAAAGGGUUUUUAGGACCAAAACAAAGUGUUUAUUUGAAAUACACUAUUACUUGGGUUAAUUGGGAAAAGUAUAUGAUUCCUGUUAAGAUUUAUAUAUUUGAUGUGACUGAUACUUUGAAGAUUUCAGAUAAGUCCAAAGGAAUGAGACCAAACCAUGAUUGCAAGGUAAGCCAAAUGAUCAUAUGUUAUAUAUUGUAUUUAUCAUUGAUUAAACGUACAAAUUUGUUGAAAUCUCGUCGAUUGGUACUGUCAGAGUCAGGUUGAUACAUGUUAUGAUUAGAUUAGAUGUGUACAUAAAAUGUUUUUACACUGUUAAUUAUGCAUAGUAAUUAAAUUCAUAUUUGAAUCUCAAUUUUAUUAGAAAAAUAUAUAUAAUACUAGUUCGUGUGAUUAACAUAUAUUCUUUGUUACAUAUACAGCUUGAGUAUGAAGUUGAACCUUGCAACACAAGUUUUGUGAAUCGCAGUAGUUGUGUUGAUGUCAAGAG